GCCUACGAUCAUACUACGUUGAAAGCACCGCAUCCCGUCAGAUCUGCGAAGUUAAGGAACGUUAGGCUGAGCUAGUACUACG
rnacentral:rRNA from 1 species